rnacentral:lncRNA from 1 species
AGACAAGACAUUCAGUUGUGGCUCAGUUGUAAUUUACUUUUCAAAUGUGGUACAUUAAAGGGAACAAUUAUAACUAAUAUAGGUAUAAGACCAGAAGACCAAAAAAAGGGAAAGUCAAACUUAAUACCCUGUAGGUAAAAACAUAUUUUGGUUUUUUUAAUGGUAUCUCUUAGUGGACUUCAGGAGGUGGUUGGUCCAAAGACAUAUUUUGACUCGGAAUUUGGUCAAGGAUCAUUAAUGAAUUUGGUUCAUUGAUAAUUAGAGAUUUGGAUGAAUCAGCUGCUCAAUUCAUGUUGCUGUGUACUCAGACCCCACAGAUAAAUGUUACCAACAGACCUCUUCUGUAGUUCUAAAAGGGGAUUUUCUACAAGUCAUAGUGUGGUAGGCUGAAUAAUGGCCCCCCUAAGAUGUCCACAUCCUAUUCCCCGAAAUCUUUGAAUAUGUUGCCUUACGUGGCAAAAAGGACUUUGCAGGUGUAGUUAAAUGAAGGAUCUUGAAAUGGGAAGAUUACGCUGGAUUUUCAGGAUGGGCCAAUGUAAUCACAAAGGUCCUUAUGAGAGGAGGGCAGUCAGAGAGAGAUGAUGUACAGAUGGAAGCAGAGGUCAAGGAGAGAGAAGAUGCUAUGCUGUAUGCUGCUGGCUUUGAAGAGGAGGAACGGGCCACAGACCAACGAAAGUAGGUGGCUUCUAGAACCUGGAAAAGGCAAGCAAAUAGAUUAUUCCUUAAUGCCUGAAGAAGGAAUGCAGCCCUGUGGACAUAUUCUAGGCCUCUGAUCUUUAGAACCGUAAGCUAAAUUUGUACUGUUUUAAGCCACUAAAUUUGUGGUAGUUUGUGAUGGCAGCUAUAGGAAACUAACACAUGUGGUCCAUUUAUAAUUCAGAGGAGACUCUAGGCUAGGAUGACAUGUCAACUCUGAUCGAUUACUAGGUGGUGCCUAGGGUUCUGGGUUGAGAAUGGUUCUGAGACUGAGUCUGGGUGGGCUCAGCAAAAAAUAUUACCAUGAUCAUAGCUGUAAUCAUUACCAUGAUCAAAACCCAUGACUGCCGUGGGUUUUGGAUGCACAUAUGUGCCUCAGACCGAAAUCUUUUUGUGGUGAGUGGGCAUAUAGCCUGCAGAACCUAACAACCAAACAGUCUGUGUGGCUCAGAAGGAUGAGCUCCAUCCUGCACACUGACUCAAAUGGAGAUGGCUAAGGCAUGUGAGUUUCAAUAACAGCGCAGCUGAAAUUUCUUGCAAGGGGAAAGUUAUUGGAUUUACAAAACUUUUCUAUAUUCAAGAGCUGCGGGUUCCGCUCAUGUCUAGCGAGCCCACUAACUUGUAACUUGGGGUUGUUUGAUGCCCUGUUAUUCCAUUUUACUUUCAAUGGAAAAGCAAACUGAGCAAAAGCUAUUUGGGGAUAAAGUAUGGGAAGUUUUAAAAAAUGGAAAUUAAGAAAUUUCGCUUGUAAAAACAGAGCCACAGAAUGCUUAGUAACACCAAGAAUAUUCUCCUUUUAACCCUCCUAUCUCUCAACUUUACUCCCCUUUACCCUGAACCUAAUCUCCUCUGUUCAGGUCACGAAUACACAGCACCCAUGUAAUGGGGACCAAAGUCUUCUGGGACUGGUCGUAUGAACCUGAAGAUGAAUCAUGACUUAAGUGUUAAGGACUGUCAUGCACUCUUAUAGCUGCCGCAGAAGCCUGAAACCUGGGCGAGUUUUGAGCUGGGAGAUAGAACGAGAUUCACACGACAUGCCGCGUGACCAGAAUGCCACUGUAGCAGAAACUACUGGAUGCUCACCAAACCCAUUUCCUCUUCUUCCUAAGCAUACAGCUCAAAUAAAUUACCCAGCCUCCCUUUUGUGGCCAUGUAACUGUGUUCCAGCGAGAGGAAUGUGAGGAUAAGUGGCAUGCACCACUUCCAGCCCUGGCCCGUAAAAAUCCUCCGACGUGCAUCUUCCAAACUCCCUUCUCUGGCUGCCUAGAGUGACAUUGACUUUUAUGGUACCUUUGGAAGCCACAUGUUGAAGAUAGCAGAACUAAACAUGCAAGGAGCCUGGCCCUUGAUUCACUCCUUGGAGGAUCUCUACUCAAGCAGGAAUGCUAAAUUGAACUGCUACAUGAUUUUCCUGUUUCAAGACGGCAAAAUGUUGGGG